GCGCGAAACCUUUACACUGCACGCAAGUGCGAUAAGGGGACCCCAAGUGCGAGGGCAUAUAGUCCUCGCUUUUCUCGACUGUAAGGCGGUCGUGGAAUAAGAGCUGGGCAAGACCGGUGCCAGCCGCCGCGGUAAUACCGGCAGCUCAAGUGAUGACCGAUAUUAUUGGGCCUAAAGCGUCCGUAGCCGGCCACGAAGGUUCAUCGGGAAAUCCGCCAGCUCAACUGGCGGGCGUCCGGUGAAAACCACGUGGCUUGGGACCGGAAGGCUCGAGGGGUACGUCCGGGGUAGGAGUGAAAUCCCGUAAUCCUGGACGGACCACCGAUGGCGAAAGCACCUCGAGAAGACGGAUCCGACGGUGAGGGACGAAAGCUAGGGUCUCGAACCGGAUUAGAUACCCGGGUAGUCCUAGCUGUAAACGAUGCUCGCUAGGUGUGACACAGGCUACGAGCCUGUGUUGUGCCGUAGGGAA
rnacentral:rRNA from 1 species